UUAUCGGUAGUCCAAAGGCUUAGGACGCUUGCACGGAAUGCAAGAGAUCCAGGUUCGACUCCCGGCCGAGGUA
rfam:Trachymyrmex cornetzi contig20094, whole genome shotgun sequence.